rnacentral:rRNA from 1 species
UAGGGAAUCUUCGGCAAUGGGGGGAACCCUGACCGAGCAACGCCGCGUGAGUGAAGAAGGUUUUCGGAUCGUAAAGCUCUGUUGUUAAGGAAGAACGAGUGUGAGAAUGGAAAGUUCAUACUGUGACGGUACUUAACCAGAAAGAGACGGCUAACUACGUGCCAGCAGCCGCGGUAAUACGUAGGUCCCGAGCGUUGUCCGGAUUUAUUGGGCGUAAAGCGAGCGCAGGCGGUUAGAUAAGUCUGAAGUUAAAGGCAGUGGCUCAACCAUUGUAGGCUUUGGAAACUGUUUAACUUGAGUGCAGAAGGGGAGAGUGGAAUUCCAUGUGUAGCGGUGAAAUGCGUAGAUAUAUGGAGGAACACCGGUGGCGAAAGCGGCUCUCUGGUCUGUAACUGACGCUGAGGCUCGAAAGCGUGGGGAGCGAACAGGAUUAGAUACCCUGGUAGUCCACGCCGUAAACGAUGAGUGCUAGGUGUUAGGUCCUUUCCGGGACUUAGUGCCGCAGCUAACGCAUUAAGCACUCCGCCUGGGGAGUACGACCGCAAGGUUG